rnacentral:sRNA from 1 species
UGUAAAUCUAACUAAAUGUCUAAUACCGUAACAAAUAUAUUAGAAGAUCACCAAUGACGGAAAUAAAUUAAUAAAACAUCGUGAAUUCACACAACUAAUAUCGGGUGUCUCACUCACCAUUCGAUUCAUUUUUUAAGGCGGCAUUGUGAAGUCUUCAUCAAAAUCUAAAACAUCAAAUGAGUUUAAGAACUGAAAACAUUUCUACAAAUGAUUGAAUAAAGUCUUAAAUCUCAUAUUUUAUUCCAAAAUCAAGAGAAUUUUUAAAACCCACACCCGUCCGGUUUAACCGAGUCACGGGUUAAUGGUGAGUUUUUGUGGGUUUUUACGGUUUUGAACUUGUCAGGUUUUAGCACUAAACCCAAACCAAAAAAAUGUUCGGGUCACGGUUCAACCGGUCGGACCGGGCAUAAAAAUACUGGUUUUUAGAGUUUUUUUGUUAUUUCUAGACUCUUUUAUAGUCUUUUUCAGGUCUUUACAUGUUUGGGAUGCAUUUUGAGAUUAUGGAACAUUCUGGAUCAAAACAGAGAACUUAUGAUGCAAAAGCAAUUUGGAGACGUAAAUUUGCGUAGGUGUCAAUCGACACCACCCCUAGUGUCAAGGGACACCAAAAUACUGGAUUUUAGAGAUUCUCAAUAGAGAAUUAGUAGAUCGAAAACUUUAUUAGGAUAAUGACUUCAUUUAUGAAAUUAUUAUUAUCUUCUAUUUUUUAGAUUUUUUGUAAAAUGGAAAAAACAAUAUAUGAAAAUUAAAGAAGAUUUGAAAAUAUAGAAAGUUUUCUAAAUAUUUUGUCACUAAAUAAUAUAAAAAGUAUCUACAUAUAAAUUUCUAU